UGGGGAAUAUUGGACAAUGGGGGCAACCCUGAUCCAGCAAUGCCGCGUGUGUGAAGAAGGCCUGCGGGUUGUAAAGCACUUUUGGCAGGGAUGAAAAGCACUGGAUUAAUAACCCAGUGUGUUGACCUAACCUGCAGAAGAAGCACCGGCUAACUCUGUGCCAGCAGCCGCGGUAAUACAGGGGGUGCGAGCGUUAAUCGGAAUUACUGGGCGUAAAGCGCGCGUAGGUGGUUAGUUAAGUUGGAUGUGAAAUCCCCGGGCUCAACCUGGGAACUGCAUUCAAAACUGACUGACUAGAGUAUGGUAGAGGGUGGUGGAAUUUCCUGUGUAGCGGUGAAAUGCGUAGAUAUAGGAAGGAACACCAGUGGCGAAGGCGACCACCUGGACUGAUACUGACACUGAGGUGCGAAAGCGUGGGGAGCAAACAGGAUUAGAUACCCAAGUACGUCCCUGAGCGGGCUGGCAAGGC
rnacentral:rRNA from 1 species